rnacentral:rRNA from 1 species
AUUGAACGCUAGCGGGAUGCCUUACACAUGCAAGUCGAACGGCAGCACGGACUUCGGUCUGGUGGCGAGUGGCGAACGGGUGAGUAAUGUAUCGGAACGUGCCCAGUAGCGGGGGAUAACUACGCGAAAGCGUAGCUAAUACCGCAUCCGCCCUACGGGGGAAAGCGGGGGAUCGUAAGACCUUGCCCUCUUGGAGCGUCCGAUAUCGGAUUAGCUAGUUGGUGGGGUAACGGCUCACCAAGGCGACGAUCCGUAGCUGGUUUGAGAGGACGACCAGCCACACUGGGACUGAGACACGGCCCAGACUCCUACGGGAGGCAGCAGUGGGGAAUUUUGGACAAUGGGGGAAACCCUGAUCCAGCCAUCCCGCGUGUGCGAUGAAGGCCUUCGGGUUGUAAAGCACUUUUGGCAGGAAAGAAACGUCGCGGGUUAAUACCUCGCGAAACUGACGGUACCUGCAGAAUAAGCACCGGCUAACUACGUG